rnacentral:rRNA from 1 species
UAGACGAAACCGGAGGAAGAGUAGGGGAUGACCGUCAAGUCUACCAUGGGCCCUUACGGCCUGGGCUACACACGUGCUACAAUGGUCGGUACAAAGGGUUGCCAAGCCGCGAGGUGGAGCUAAUCCCAUAAAACCGAUCGUAGUCCGGAUCGCAGUCUGCAACUCGACUGCGUGAAGUCGGAAUCGCUAGUAAUCGUGAAUCAGAAUGUCACGGUGAAUACGUUCCCGGGCCUU